CCAUGCAGUUCAAUUAUCCUGAUUCUUCAGUUUCCAUCUGUAUGAAACAGGCCACGCAGCAGAGACAUAGACACAUCAGAAUUCCCAUCUGCACUGCAAUAAACACUACUUAGGAGAAUCAGUCUCAGCUGGACCAAACCUCUCAGUCCCACUCGAUGUCAUCUGUGCCAAGCCAAGGAUGAAAAAACAACAACAACAACAACAAAAACUGCCAUGAAUUCCACAGACACAAAGAAAUGAAUUCUGCAAGCAAUUCAAGGGCAAUCUAUAACCUCACUGACUUGAGAUCCUGAGGAGGACCCAGUCCUGGCUGCCACCUGGAUUGCCCUGUGAUAUCCUCAACAGAGAACCCAUCCAACCUGUGUCAGGGCUCCU
rnacentral:lncRNA from 1 species